UCUGGGACAAUAAGCCUAGGCGAUGAAUUUACAAUAUCCAGCGAACACGUCCUUGAAAUCAUUGAAAGGAAGAAACCUAUUGGUAACAAGCUUAUGUAUGCGCUGAUUAAGUUAAGUUUGCAAAUUCAGCAAAGUUCAUAUUCCCCCAGCCGCUUGUGGACGCAAUUGUUGGUAGCUCAGAUGUCGAAUGUGUCCAGCCGUUCGUUGAUGCUGAAUAUCUGGGCAUUCCAUUCAAUUCCGACAAGAAGCAUUGGGUUGCUUUCUGUGUUGAUCUAAAUGCCCAGAAAAUUGUGGUCCUCGACCCCAAUUUCAAUAUACAAAGCGAUGCCCAAGCCAAAACUGCCAUACAACCUGUAGCAUUGAUGCUCCCCUUCCUAUUCAAACAAGUUGCAGCUAAUACUGACACGACUAGAUCCAUUCCUGCUCGAAAUGAAGUAGAGAGCCCUCUCGGCAUCUCCCAGGUGAGAUCCCAAUUUGAUGAUGGGUUAAUGAUGGUAUUUUUUAUCCAUGCUCACGCUUCUAGGGGCAUGCUCGAGGUCAGGUAGUUUGACGUUGCUAGCCUUGACACUGUGCCCAGAAAGCUCGUAUCCACACUUAUUAUUUAUGGGAUUGAGUAGUAUGCUUAUUGUUGUAGACUGUUCUGGUAGUGUCGAAGAUGUAUUCCUGGCUCCACAAACAUAUCCCCAUCUUGCUAUUUGAUAUUAAUUGUUAACGGUUUUGGUUGUAGCUCACUGCUCAAAUAUUUGGAAGCGUAAUUUUAUUUUGUGGAUUGGCAA